UACAACCAUAUCAUGUUGAAACACCGGUUCUCAUACAAUCACCAUAGUUAAGCAACGUCGAGCCUGUCAGUACCUGAAUGGGUGACCACUAGGGAAUACCAGGUGCAGUAA